CCCCCCCCCCCCACAGUACACACAUGGCGCCGCCGCUCCCCACCUCCCCUCGCCCUUCCGAGUGCACCACGAGAUGCGCGCCGUUGUCCUCUACCUCUCUUUGCGAGGAAUCGACCUGGAAGCUUCGCAAUCGCCCCCAAAUUCACCAUUCCCUUUCCAUCCCUGGCGGGAGGAAACCUUUGAUUCAUCGCCAUCCGUCCCCCUCCGCCCUCCUUGUCACGUCCUGCACAUCCCUGCAACCCGCCGACGGUGAAGCUCCGGCGACCUCCCGUGGGCGGCGCCGCCUCCUCUCCAUCCGCGCCGACAAGGCGCACCCGACGCCCCCUUCCUCGCAUCCUGGGACGCCUCCAGUCGCCGGCGCGCACCAAACCCUGCCGCGGUGACCACCAGGCCUGCGACACGCGCGGCAUCCCUUCUUCACGGAAGGUUUGCCAGCGUGGCGCGUGGGGCCCUUUCGUCAGCGACACGAGCUAGCCCCCUCGCUGCAUUUGCUUCUUCCUGGAUAGGAUCACGAAGUGUUGAUGUGAGAUACGACGAGUUCUCCGACAAGUUCUUCUGCAGCUUUUCACAGGCGAGCCCACCCCUUCACCUAUUUUACUUUUACAUGCUCUUUUGAUCUAUUGCUAUCCUUAUGUUGCGAUUUUGUUGUGUCACAUGUCCUAUCCACCUGUUACCUAUACGUCCGAGAUACACCUCCUCGCCCUACCUAUUGUUUGUUGUUUGCCAGCUUUGCGAGUCGUAGGCGAGUUUAGGGUCUUGUUGAUAUCUCGAGAAGUUCGGGAUAUCUUGUUGGGAAGUUGACACAUGUACCACCUUUUGAAAAUGAUGUUGAUAACUUUUGCUACAACUAAAAUUGCUAAGGGAUAAUAACAUUGCAGAGGCAUCUGUGAGCCCCUUUGCGAAAGCAUCAGAACUUUGACUCGCUAAUGUCCCCUAGGACCCGAGUUCUUGUUAUCUGUUCCGAGAUUGAGCGCUCUACCCAUGCGUGGGGACGAUUAUCGGGACCCCCCCUCACCCAUUACCUUUCCUCGAGUCUGUUUAAUUGGGAGCCACAACCUUGGUUUUAUUUGCCUAUGCCAUGCUUUACUUACUGUUGCCUUCGGGUGUUUACUUCAUGUUGCCUUCGGGUGUUUAUAUUCUGUACUGUACCUUGCGGGACGUUUAGCGAAGCGUGUGGUUCGCACGCCUAGCCGCCGGCGCAGACCUCUGGGUCCGUAUCGGAGUACGGCCGGACUUCGUCACGGGUAGCUUAGUUGGGUGGCUCCCAUUAAACUUUCUCUUGCAUUGGGAACGGUCUUGUUGUGAGACUUCAUCUGUAGUAAGUGGGGUCGAGCAUACGUAUGGUUACAUUUGGGCAACCCCUGCAGGGUGUAUGAUACGUCUCCGACGUAUCGAUAAUUUCUUAUGUUCCAUGCCACAUUAUUGAUGAUAUCUACAUGUUUUAUGCAUACUUUAUGUUGUAUUUAUGCAUUUUCCGGCACUAACCUAUUAACGAGAUGCCGAAGAGCCAGCUGCUGUUUUCUGCUGUUUUUGGUUUCAGAAAUCCUAGUAAAGAAAUAUUCUCGGAAUUGGACGAAAUCAACGCCCAGGGGCCUAUUUUUCCACGAAGCUUCCAGAAGUCCGAAGGAGAGACGAAGUGGGGCCACGAGGCGGCCACACACUAGGGCGGCGCGGCCUGGGCCUGGGCCGCGCCGGCCUGUCGUGUGGGGCCCUCGUGUGGCCCCCCGCGUUGCCCUUCCGCCUACUUAAAGCCUUCGUCGCGAAACCCCCAGUACUGAGAGCCACGAUACGGAAAACCUUACUGAGACGCCGCCGCCGCCAAUCCCAUCUCGGGGGAUUCUGGAGAUCACCUCCGGCACCCUGUCGGAGAGGGGAUUCAUCUCCCGGAGGACUCUUCACCGCCAUGGUCGCCUCCGGAGUGAUGAGUGAGUAGUUCACCCCUGGACUAUGGGUCCAUAGCAGUAGCUAGAUGGUUGUCUUCUCCUCAUGUGCUUCAUUGUCGGAUCUUGUGAGCUACCUAACAUGAUCAAGAUCAUCUAUCUGUAAUGCUAUAUGUUGUGUUUGUCGGGAUCCGAUGGAUAGAGAAUACUAUGUUAUGUUGAUUAUCAAUCUAUUACCUAUGUGUUGUUUAUGA